AUGGGGAGUUUGAAAGAGAUAAUGAAAUCUCUGCUGCUUUUCCUUUCCCUGUUCUCCGCCCCCACCCGUGUCCUCGCUCAGGUGCAGCUGGGCCAGUCCAGUUCUUCCAUGGCGAAGCCCGGAGAGACCCUGACACUCACAUGCACCAUCUCGGGUCCCUCCAGUGACACCCUCUCCAGUUCUUGUUGCUGGUGGACCUGGAUCCGGCAGGAACCCGGGAAAGGGCUGGAAUGGAUGGGAGAUGUAGCCAAAGAAGGGACAACACACUACGCCCCGUCUCUCCAAAGCCGAGUCACCAUCUCUGCAGAGCCUGCCAAGAACCAGUUCUCCCUGCAGCUCCGCUCGCUGACAGCUGCAGACACCGCCACCUACUACUGCGCCAGAAACACAGUGACACAGAGCAGAGCGGGGACUGGUACAAAAAGGGGAAGCGGGCUCUGA